GAUGGGCUCCCCGACAGGAGGCCUGUGGAAGCUGCUGAAGAAGCCGGAGCCACCGUGGCUCCUCUUCCCACCUGGCUUCCUGAUGGACAGUCAGCCAGCCACACGGUUCCCAGGGCCUCUACACCUGCAUCUCGCCAUCACUGCAGAGGGUGUCACCCCCAGCCCUGGUGCUGUGGUUUCAGGUCAAUCCCACUAGUGCCCAGUGCGGGUGGGCAUGCAUCCUGGUGGAUGUGCCACAAGAGGAUUUUGGUCCCUAGUCCUUGGUGUGGAGCCCCAGCACCUGCUUCUUACCAGGUGGGGUCAGAAGUGGGGACACCAAGCUUCAGAAACAGACGCAAACCUCAGUCUGGGGCAGGAAGAGCCAUUCACACACAGAGUCUACACAGGCUGCACAGUCCCUGGGGCCGGGACAAGGCAUCUGGUAGAAUCUCCCACCCAGCAGUGCUCCUGGAUCUGGGGCCUCCCCCACCAACCUGAAGAUCUCCACAGCCCUUUCCCAGAGACCCUGCAGACCCUCAGUGGUAUCAGCAGCUGAUGGAAGAGAAGAUUGCACAGCCUGGCACCAUUCACAAGCAUGAAGGAGGUACUGAGAUGCAGAGCUCUGCCUAUAAGUGCCACCAACCACCACAGAGAUGAACACGUCCAUGAGCAGCAGGACCAUAGGGCACCCACUGCAGAGAUGGACAUAUCCACAGGUGGCAGGACAGUGGGCACCCACUACUGAAAUGGAUGCGUACACAGAUGGCAGGACCACAGGAACCACUGUGGAGGUGGACAUGUUCAUGGCGGCAGGAUGGUGGAGCACCCACUAUGGAAACGAUAAGUCCACAGGUAGCAGGACUAUGUAUCCCUGCCGGAUUAAAUAAACUCUCACUCCUCCUGC